AGUGAACGCUGGCGGUAGGCCUAACACAUGCAAGUCGAACGGCAGCACAGUAAGAGCUUGCUCUUACGGGUGGCGAGUGGCGGACGGGUGAGGAAUACAUCGGAAUCUACUUUUUCGUGGGGGAUAACGUAGGGAAACUUACGCUAAUACCGCAUACGACCUACGGGUGAAAGCAGGGGAUCUUCGGACCUUGCGCGAUUGAAUGAGCCGAUGUCGGAUUAGCUAGUUGGCGGGGUAAAGGCCCACCAAGGCGACGAUCCGUAGCUGGUCUGAGAGGAUGAUCAGCCGCACUGGAACUGAGACGCGGUCCAGACUCCUACGGGAGGCAGCAGUGGGGAAUAUUGGACAAUGGGCGCAAGCCUGAUCCAGCCAUACCGCGUGGGUGAAGGAGGCCUUCGGGUUGUAAAGCCCUUUUGUUGGGAAAGAAAAGCAGCAGGUUAAUACCACGCUGUUCUGACGGUACCCAAAGAAUAAGCACCGGCUAACUUCGUG
rnacentral:rRNA from 1 species